UUUGUGAAAACUCCUCCACGACGUUGCGCUGGCCCUGGAAUCUGAGAACACUCAGCCCAGGAUAUGUCACGGUAGGCCCUGUAAGAUGACAGGACCAAUGUCAUCCAUCAUCCAAGUUGGUGCUGCUAGGAGAGAACCACAGAGCACUUUCAUGUAAAGGAAAGAGAAGAUGAGCACAGCCAGUUUGAAUUUUGAUGACUUGAAGUUACUCUCUAAUUUAAGUAUUUUAUAUCCGAGAAGCAUAUUAUGUGUGUGGAAGUAUUAUGUGACUUUUCUCAAACUUUGAAGCAUUUCCUCCACUUACAAGACAUAGAAAACCUUUCCCCAAAUUUUUCUAAACUUCCUUGGGCGCACAGCUUGAUCUCUGUACUCUUCCUCUCCAUCUCUGUAAAAUGAAUGCUUCAGGAAUUGGAUAAUACGACAUUGAACUUAAACAGCCUCUUCGUCAGAGAGUCCAGAGGUCUUUGAAACUCCAGACUCAUCUGAAGAGAAGAGAGAGAUUUUGGCUUUGAUUCUAGAGUGAUGUUUCACAGAAAGUCAACUCUUGUUCCAGCAGGUUUGGAGAUGAGAUGAAAGCAACCCUAUCUCACCACUUUUAGAAAGGAAAUGAGGUAUGGUGCUCAUAUUCCCUGGCUUUUACUUGGAUCAAGUGUGGAAGAAAGGAAGAAAGAAGUGGAAACUAAACCUGGAAAAAGAAGAAGAGAGGAAAACAGCUAUCCACUCCCUCCCCUGAAAACACCUGGCAAUCUGCCUCUUUGAGUAAGCUGACUCACAGUGGACAGUAGUUCCUCCAUGGGCUUGGAAGUAUCCAAUGAUACCUACUAUCAAGUAGAAUGCAGUUUAAGAUUGCUGGAGAAGAAGGAUGCCUACCAUUGUUGUUGUUGGAGUUUGUUGUUGUUUUUUUUUUUUUUUUUUACUAUAGUAGUUUAUAGAGGAGGAAGAUUUUUCCUCUACCUGUCUUGGGUACAUUGCUGGGGUCCUGCAAAUUAGGUUGACAAAGGACAGAUAAAAGAGAGAAAAGCAAGCAAGUUUGUUGAUUCAUGCAGUCCACAACACAUGGAAUACUUACUGAGGAGUAACUCAAAGAAGUGGUUAGAACUUGGACUUCUAGGGCAUCUUAGCCAAGAAAGAUAAAUUUGAAGAGAAGUGACAAGACACAGGAAAAGGGUUUUAGACUUCCAAAGGUGGCAAACUGUAGGAAGAUAAAUAUAUGGGAGAAGCCAGUGGAAGAUAAGGAUUGUUUUAGCAAGGUUUGUUACAUAGAUUCCCCUGGUGCAGACUCUGGACUGUUAAGAGUCUAGGGUUGUUUCUGGUGGUUAAGAAUCCUCCUGCCCUUUCUGGUAAAGAGGGGGAGGUCAGAGAGUUUGUCCUGUGUCUUUUUCUCCCCAGUUGUCUUCAGCUCAAAAUAAGCUUUAUGCCAGAUUGGCAUGUUCUAGGGUUUAGAACCUCUUCAAAGAUUAACUUUUCUUCUUUUCAUAAUAUUCUAAAAUAAUACAUAUACAUGGUAGAAAAAUUGGCAUUUUGAAAGAAGUUAAAAGAAGCAUGCAAAACAUCACUAAACCUUACCUUGUUAGUCAAAUGCAACCACAGUUCAGAAUGGUUCCAGUAUUCUUUCCUAGAAUUUCUUUAUCUUCAUGUAACUGAGAUCAUUCUGUACACAGAAUUUCACAUACUAUGCUUUCCUUCAAUCAUUCAAAAAUAUUUUCUAGUGCCAUUAUUAAUUCUUUAACUAUUAUUUUAA